ensembl:lncRNA TAGAP-AS1 TAGAP antisense RNA 1
GAAAAUAUCACCCCAGUCCCUCCUGGUCAUCUCACUCCCUCCUGGCCUGUACAGUUUCCACUGAGAAGUCUGCUGCCAGAUGGAUUGGAGCUCCUUCAUGGGGAGUGAAGCCAGCCUGCUUCUAUGCUGCCAUUUUGGAACUCCUGAAAAAUAUUUUCACUGGAUUAGAAUUAGAGCUUGAUAGUUCUUUAAGGACUUGAAAAAUAUUGUGCCACUUUCUUGUCUCCAUGUUUUAGGCUGUACAGGAGGCAUGGCUGGGGAGGCCUCAGAAAACUUACAAUCAUGGCAGAAGGUGAAGGGGAAGCCAGCACAUCUUCAUAUGAUGGCAGGAACUUUAUAUGUUAUAGAAGUUAGCCCCAAGAAUGAAAUCGUGUCCUUUGCCAAAACAUGGAUGGAGCUAGAGGCCUUUAUCCUAAAAGCUACAAAUCUUCAGCAUUCUCCACUCUGUGAAGUCAGAGGAAUGGCGGGACCAUAGCUCUGAGCUCAUUGGCAAAUACAACUAAUUUCAAUUUCUGGAAUGGAAGCAGUCAGAUAUUCUUCUGACUGCACGCGUAUGUGGGAGUGCCAUGUUGAAGAGUGGAAAAUAUGGAAGAUCAGUCCCUACAAACUUAAUAGGAGAAUGACAUUCAGAUUUCCCGAGUAUUUUGCAUGUCCAACUGAAAACUGAAGUAGGUUUAUGAGAGAAUGCACGCCUACCUGGAUGGGUCUGGGGAGUGUGUCACUGUCACCGCAGAUAAUUGACAAGGGCUGAUCAAAUAGCGAUGCUUUCAAGUCUGUCUCCAAAGCCCCAGAAAAAUCUGAUGCAGGGGAGAGCCUUCUCAUGAGAAAGGGCCAGGACAGCACCUUCUUUCUCUUCUUAACUUCUACAGCCAAGAAAACAAGGCAACGAGAAAAAUUAGACUACAGUGUUAAGAAGCAAAGAUCCAGGUAAGAAAAUGGGUAUCGUUGGCCGCAUAAUGUGGUCAAUAGUAUGCGAUGUGAGAAAAAUAAUUUUGAAAACUUGAGAAAGCAAAGGGCGUGAAUCUUAAUCUAGAAAAACCAACCGAUAAACAACCACACUGUUACCAGGGCAACCAGUUCCCUAAACAGCAACACCAGAGUUCCUCAAGGCCUCCACCUUUCCUGUUUUCACUCUUUCCAGCUGUUUGCUACAGAAAAUUAGCAAAACCUAACUGUGCUGAUCAUAAACAACCAUCUUAACCUACUGGCCUGAAUAACUAUAGAGGAAAUUUCUGAUAUGAAAUAGAUUAUUUUGAUUUCCUCCUUUAACUGGCGAAGAAAACGAAACUUAAAAGGUGAGGAAGUGACUUGCUGAAUAUCUUUUCGAAGGCACAUAGCAGGGCUGGCUCCAACCCUUUGCAGCCACGCAGGCACUAAACAGCCACUAGAGGGAGCUAACACCAUUUUUCCUUCCAGGUGACUGGUCACCUUGGGUUUUCCAGGUUGCUGCUUUAGGACAGAGGCAAAUACGAAUCGCUGCGGGAAGCCUUGAACCUAGAUCUGGCAACUGGGAAUUAUCAGCAAAACGUUAUCAAGAUAUUCUGUCCUUCUGAAAUCCACAAGAUGUGUGUGCAAUGGAUAUUGCAAUCUCAAACAUUUCCUUCUUUCUUUUCUUUUCCUUCCUUCCUUCCUUCUCCUUUCUUACUAAUUAUAAAGGCUAUAUUUUCUAAAUGCA